rnacentral:rRNA from 1 species
GCCAUGCUAGUUGUACGAGUUUAGACUCGUAGCAGAUAGCUCAGUAACACGUGGCCAAACUACCCUAUGGAUCCGGACAACCUCGGGAAACUGAGGCUAAUCCGGAAUACGACUUUCAGCCUGGAAGUGGCGAGAGUCAGAAACGCUCCGGCGCCAUAGGAUGUGGCUGCGGCCGAUUAGGUAGACGGUGGGGUAACGGCCCACCGUGCCCAUAAUCGGUACGGGUUGUGAGAGCAAGAGCCCGGAGACGGUAUCUGAGACAAGAUACCGGGCCCUACGGGGCGCAGCAGGCGCGAAACCUUUACACUGCACGAAAGUGCGAUAAGGGGACUCCAAGUGCGAGGGCAUAUAGUCCUCGCUUUUCACUACCGUAAGGUGGUAGUAGAAUAAGUGCUGGGCAAGACCGGUGCCAGCCGCCGCGGUAAUACCGGCAGCACGAGUGAUGACCGCUCUUAUUGGGCCUAAAGCGUCCGUAGCUGGCCACGCAAGUCUAUCGGGAAAUCCGCGCGCUCAACGCGCGGGCGUCCGGUGGAAACUGUGUGGCUUGGGACCGGAAGAUCCAGAGGGUACGUCCGGGGUAGGAGUGAAAUCNCGUAAUCCUGGACGGACCACCGGUGGCGAAAGCGCUCUGGAAAGACGGAUCCGACGGUGAGGGACGAAAGCUCGGGUCACGAACCGGAUUAGAUACCCGGGUAGUCCGAGCUGUAAACGAUGUCUGCUAGGUGUGCCACAGGCUACGAGCCUGUGGUGUGCCGUAGGGAAGCCGUGAAGCAGACCGCCUGGGAAGUACGUCCGCAAGGAUGAAACUUAA